GGAUGAGAUGGCGGCCAUGGGAGUGCGGUUCGCCGGCCACUAGCUCCGGGCCCUCCUCCACAUCGCCGCCGGCGACCUCGUCCACGACGAGCUCGCGUCCAGCUUGCCGUGCAGGUCAAUGGAGCAACUUGUGGCAGAUCUCGCUACUACUGUUGUCAGCAUGCUACUAGUAGAACCUCUACUUUUAGAAGGACUUAGGGAUCGUCCUGUUGGUUGGUUCAUGUGUGGCGCCCUUGCUACCCGUGUUCACCACCGACGAGUCUGAAGCGGGACAGGACGCCGCUGUCCUGCUUCUUGGCCGUGGACGACCUCGAGCACAAGGUCUCCAGGAUGGGCACCCUUGCCGGCAUCACUAUCAAGUUCAGGGUCGAGGACUGAGAAGCGGAGCCGGAGGUGGCCAAAGGAGGUAGCGGUGGUGGCCUUCUUCCUCUAGUCUUGGUGGUUUAGGUGCAUAAGUUUGUGCGGUCCGCCGGCUGUUGGGCUGGCUUUGGCGGCGAGUUCGCAGCGCCACAACCGCCGUGGUGCUAUCUUGGCUUUGUCUACAAUUCUCUCAGGACGGAGAAGCAGGGCUGGAGCUAGCCACAGGAGGUAGCGGUGGUGGCCUUCUUCCUCUAUGUCUCGGUGGUUCAGAUUCUGCUUGUUCUGGUGCAAGGGAGGGCUCCAGCAGAAAUUCGAGAUGCGCCGUCUCCGGGGCUUGUGCUGCUGGUGCAGUGUUUCAAGUCUUGUAAAAUCCGGUGAAGAUUUUGUAACCAGAGCAGAAGGUUGUAAUGGAGUGUAAUCGUUUCGUUUGCAUGUGUGCAAUAUAUUAAUUUGCAUUGCGGUCGUCUUUAAUUGAUGGAGUUGAAUCUAGAAUGCA